UGACGGUUGAGUGUCAGGUCUAAAAAUAACUCCGGGGGCCACGAGACCUGGAGAGACCUCCGAGGACCGGUUAGGAGUGGGAGUGGGAACUCGGAGCGGCGGAUGGGUGCAGCUGCUCCUGGCAUUCCGUCUGCAACAAUCUGCACCCAGGGAGUCUCCGUGUGACCUGAGCUUGCCACUUGACGUCUCUCAUCUUAGAGACCAAGGUGUUGAUGCCUCCAUGCUGGGUUCCAUGGUCUGAGUGAUACGUCCAUCAUGGCGUCAGCUGUGCUAAGAGUCUCCAUCUUUCCAUUUUCCUUGUGUUGAUAGCCUCGUCAGUGGCUCCAUUUGUAUUUUUGGGGACAUGAGGAAACGACACAGCACCUGCCAGCUUUAUCAACUUUGCCUGGACCCCUUUGCUCCCUGUGGUUGCGUUUCUGUGUGGAGCAGAGGUCAGGGUCCAGGGAAGAGUCCUGCAUUUCUGCCAGUAUCAUAACCUCUGCUCACCUGCAGCUGUCCUUUCAGGUCUGACCUCAUUUGUUUGGAUGAUGACCAUGACAUCAUCAAUGUCAACUGGAAGCAGCUCUGUGCCUCAGUUUACCACCUACACAAUGAAGGGGCUACAGCGUAGUAUCUUACAAUUUUAAACAUUUAUGUAUUUAUUAUUUA